UUCCGAGAGAGUUGAACUCAAACUUUUAUUGUGUCCUGCAAAUUUUAUACCAAGUACAAUACAUUGCCAAUUAAAAACGAGGACUCUGUCCAGACUUCACCAAACAAACAAUAAGGUUGUCGUAUUUCACAAGUGAAAGAAACAAUUCUAAGUAUAUAUGCCGAAAAGUAUAUAUAUAUGCACCUGAAAUCCAAUCCAGCAUUCAGUUGCAUCCCAAUCCCAACAGAACACUGGCAUCUAUAUUGAAAGCAUAUCAAAACGAAACCUUUCAAUUGAAACAGCUUCCAACCAGCAACUAGUCCUUGGAUACACUUGAGCAAUCAAAACGACUUGAUCGAGAGUGAUUUGAAAAGAACUAACAUGUCAAGUCCUUAAAUAAGCCCUAUGAGCAAUACAAGGACAAGAAGGAAUCAGGUACUAGUUAGUUACCUCAAAGAUUCAGUAGCUUUUAAUCCGCAAGAACUGCUUGUAACGGAGUUUUUACCCAAAACUUUAGACUCCCUUAGACAUGCCCAAGUGAUC
rnacentral:lncRNA from 1 species